rnacentral:SRP_RNA from 1 species
UCCACAGUUUCUGUUUAUCAGCCCCAUGUUGAUCUGUUGUCUUGUUUACGAUGCGGUCUUGUCGUGAUUUCUCGGAAGCGAGAUUGGAGCGAUAAGCUUAAAGUAGGUUGAACCGGGCCAGGCGAGAAAUCGAGCAGCUCACAAACUUCGGCACAUCGAGUUUCAAGAUCGCGACGGAGAGUGGGUGGC